AGUGAACGCUGGCGGUAGGCCUAACACAUGCAAGUCGAACGGCAGCACAGUAAGAGCUUGCUCUUACGGGUGGCGAGUGGCGGACGGGUGAGGAAUACAUCGGAAUCUACUUUUUCGUGGGGGAUAACGUAGGGAAACUUACGCUAAUACCGCAUACGACCUACGGGUGGAAGCAGGGGAUCUUCGGACCUUGCGCGAUUGAAUGAGCCGAUGUCGGAUUAGCGAGUUGGCGGGGUAAAGGCCCACCAAGGCGACGAUCCGUAGCUGGUCUGAGAGGAUGACCCGCCCCACUGGAACUGAGACACGGCCCAGACUCCUACGGGAGGCAGAGGUGGGGAAUAUUGGACAAUGGGCGCAAGCCUGAUCCAUCCAUGCCGCGUGGGUGAAGAAGGCCUUCGGGUUGUAAAGCCCUUUUGUUGGGGAAGAAAAGCAGCAGGUUAAUCCCCCGCUGUUCUGACGGUACCCAAAGAAUAAGCACCGGCUAACUUCGUG
rnacentral:rRNA from 1 species